rnacentral:ncRNA from 1 species
GUAGUCUGCCAUACGCAGGAAGACCCGCUGAACUGAAGCAUCUCAUUAAGCGGAGGAAAAGAAACUAACUAGGAUUCCCUUAGUAAAGGCGAUCGAAAAGGGAACAGCCCAACGUCUUAAUCCCGCAAGGGAAAUGUAGUCGGUUCACCUAUUGCACUGGUCUAAGUCAGAUGGAAUGCUGCGCGAUUCAGAGUAAAAGCCUCGUAUGACCAACCGCAAGCUUACGAUGGACCGGGGAGAGUCGGAUACUUUGAGAGUAGUGUCUUAAGGGGGUGGUAUGUCCCAUCCAAGGCUAAAUAACGUGAGGAGACCGAUAGAUUACAAGUAGUGUGAACGAAAGAUGAAAAGAACUCUAAAACAGAGGGUGAAAAGUUCCUGAACUUGCUUAGGGUUAAGGCUAUUUAUAGUACCCGUCUUGAAACACGGAUUAGGGAGUUUAUCUGUAGUGCGAGUCUUUGCACGUUAACUGUAAAGGCGUAGAGAAAGCAACUGGCGUUUGCAUGGCUACUGAGCAUUACUGAUAGGACCCGAAAGGUGGUGAACUUUGCCUGCACAGGUUGAAGUCAGGGGAAACUCUGAUGGAGGACCGUACGGGUUAUUGAUGUGCAAAUCAUUUUUCUGAUGUAGGUAAAGGUGCGAAAGACUCAUCGAACCACCUAAUAGCUGGUUUCCUCCGAAGUUUCCCUCAGGAUAGCUGUAAUGCAUUUAGUUAAGGGGAGUAGAGAUAUGGGUAGAGGUGCAGGGAGCCUUCGGGUUCUCAACUUAUUUCCAAACUUCGAACCUCCUUGUUAGGCAUUACCUA